ACCUGUUCCCAGACUUCAUUGUGUCUUCAGCCUGCCAGAUGAAUACAGCAAACACUUUCAUUACCCUCACAGCUGCUACUCUCCUGCCAGGAGUACAGCAGCAGCUUUUCUGCUCCAAAGGAGGCCAGGAUAUAUUGCAGAAGCACUCACUGAAGCACACAGUUGCAGUGUGCCGUGGAGACCAGAGAUACUACUGCAUGUGAUCCAUCAAGUAACUACUGCACAUGGAUAUUGUCUCAAAAAGAGUGAUUGUAGAACUAUUUCCAAUACUUAUCUGUUUAAAGACUUCCAUCCAGGAUAAAGCAAACGUAGCACAGCUGCUUCUUCUGUCUGUGCUCAUCAUAUUGACUGUAAGUAGAUUAUUGUAAUUAUGACGGAAAUUGCAGGAACUUGCCUUCUAAUUGGAAUCAAAAUGGAAUUUACAAAACAAAUAUGUAACAAACAGUGCUUUCUCCAGUAGGAAAAUAAACUAAAUACAAUCUGUAUGGUGCUUCCAGAAGUUACUUAGUGUUGAUAAUAUGAGCAGAAAGGGAAGGCUUCUUCCUACUCUUUGUCUGCAAUGGACAACACACAGCUGUCCACUUGGAAGAGAGCUUAGCUGGGGAGUAAUGGCUCUUUUCUGCUGUAAAUCUAUUAACCUUGUCUGGUCAGUAGGAGUUGAAUGGAGAGAAAGCAACUGCUUUACUCUUCAUUUUAAAGGAUAUUUCAGACAGUGUGAGCAGUAUGGCAUCAAGAGGACUAGGAAGGAGAGCCAAUGGAACAGUAGAAAAUGGCAUAGAAAAGAAACUGAGGAAAGAGUUGGAGCAGUGUCUGAUCUGAUAAACCGAGUGAUAGUGGAGCACUUACUUCCUAUGGAGAUAUUGAAUACUAUAACAAACAGGUUUUUGUCAAUUAAGAGCUUUGUCGAAAAAAAAUAUAUACAUAUUUUAAACCAAACCUACUAGUGGAAGAUUCCUGUAUUCAGCAAUUUAGACCAGAAAGGAGUUUUCUCAGGCACAGACUCUGAGGAUCACAACAGGACUGCUACCAACAUAGCUGUGGAGCUGUGUAACAUCUUCCCUGCCUCUGAAGAUUGCCAUAUCAUGUCAUCACCUUCCUGUAUUUCUUGAAGGUGCCCAUAUCACUGGACUGUGAACAAAAUACACAUUUUCUUUAUAUUUCCUACUACUAGAGGAGUAGAUGUCUGACUCUGACCCAUCUGAGUGCUGAUCGGAGCAGCUGGCCAAAUGUACAGGACACACACUGAUAAAAAGUGGUAAGAAAUGUACGUUCUCUUUAGGAAAGCAGGAAAAGGAAGUAAAAUUGAAAGAGUGCCUGUGAAUGUUAAAAAGUUAACACAUUCUUGUCUCUUGGCCAGGUGUAUUAUCAGACAUUAUACUGAUUUGAAAUUCCAUCCCUCUUUCUCACAUAUCUCUGCUUUGAUGGCAGACAGGUCUUAUUGACCUGAGUGCAGCAGCAAGUAGAUGCAGCAACAGUACUUCCUACCCCAGGCACAGCAACCUGCACCUUUCUCUGGCUUAGGGGUUCUAUGGUCUUAAGUCUUUUAUAAACAGGCAACCCAAUCCUUUUCUCAUUGUUCCACUAAAUUUAAAAAAAUGUAAAAACCCUCAAACAAACAACUCAUACUGCAUUGCAACAAACCCUUCUUUCAAUUAGGAUUUAAACUGAGGAGGUUGUAUGAGAUCCAUAAUUGGCUUGGGCUUGGAAACCUUGGCUUCAUAGAAUCAUAGAAUCACAGAAUGGCCUGGGUUGAAAAGGACCACAAUGAUCAUUGAGUUUCAAUCCCCCUGC